UACGGAGGGUGCAAGCGUUAUCCGGAUUCACUGGGUUUAAAGGGUGCGUAGGCGGAUAUGUAAGUCCGUGGUGAAAUCUCUGGGCUUAACUCGGAACGGCCAAGUGAAACUGUCAAGCUAGAGUGCAGAAGGGGCAAUCGGAAUUCUUGGUGUAGCGGUGAAAUGCGUAGAUAUCAAGAGGAACACCUGAGGUGAAGACGGGUUGCUGGGCUGACACUGACGCUGAGGCGCGAAAGCCAGGGGAGCAAACGGG
rnacentral:rRNA from 1 species